GGGAGGCGCGGGCGCACCUGAGGGGCGGUGGUGCGCGGGUGCGUGGCCAGCUGAGGGGGCAGCGGGGGCAAUACCCAUGCGUUCUAUUUCAAAUCAGCCUUUUUCUCUAUUGGGCCUAGAUAGAGGUAGCAGCACGUCAUGCUGCAGGGUGUCAGCCUGCCUGCUGUGCUUCCACAGGCCCGGGGAGCCCUGUCGUGCUCCCUUCCCUCUUCCCUGUAAUGGCGCUGCAACCUGCUGCCUCACAGCGGGCGGCCUCACCUCGCUUCCAGCCCGCGGUGGAGGGGAGGAAACAGAUGGCUUCACAAAGCUGAAUUUCUGCCAAGAAAACUUGAUGCGCUGUGGGAGCUCUUGGAGAGAAUUUCACAUGAACAAAGAAAAGGUGGGAAGUCUUGAAACAAAAGGCUCAAAUAGGGACCCUGGAAGCUGCUUCUCAACUCUUCCACCAGCAGAAGAAGUUCACCUUUGCGCUAGAGCUUUUCCUUACAACAUCGCAUGUCUAAAGCCAUGGACGGACUGAGCCGGACUGAAGCUAGCGGGAGAACUUCUGUGGCUGGGUGCUAGGAUUUCUCUUGCUGCCCAGCUCUUUGACUUGAAGGAGGUCAAAAAGGUCUUGUGGGUUCCAGUUACCCUUUGGGGUCUUCACAUACUGCAGCAAAUCCUGCUUUAAUGGGGGGAAGCCCUGCUCUUUUUCCAUCAGUUCCAGCAGCUGCUUCAUCAGGCUUGAAGUCUCGUCUCUGCUGAUGCUGUUGUAGAGAUCUGAGGGAUCUUGGCUUUUCUGAGAAUCCCACAUGGCAUUUGAAAGUGAAAUAUCCCUGCUGCUGGCUGUGUGCACGCUACCUAGGGCAUUGUGGAGCCACAUCAGGCGCUUCAGCCCUUGAAAUGCCCUCCCCUUGUCAUGCAUGAGCUGAUGCUCCGUCACUGCUCUUUUACUGCAAGGGGAAGAAAGAGUUGGUUAGGAAACAAGCACAGCCAGAUCUAAGCUCCUGUUUCAAAUGUGGCUGAUUUGCAUCCAUCAAUCUUAGCUGCUUCCCUAAGCUGAGGAGGGAGCACUGGUGGUGCCCACACCUGAGGGGGAGGACAGCGCCGCGGCAGGGUGAGCAGCGCUGGUGCCCAGAGCCAGCCUGGCCCUUGCCAGGCCCGCAGCUCCCACACCGGCUGGGUCGGGCAGCCCGUGGGGCAGCGGGCAGCCGGCUCCUGAGGAUGGGAACCUGGAACGCUGCCAUUCCCUAGAGGUAUACCUUGAACUGGGGAGACGGUGACAAAAUUACCUUAGCAGGAUUAAAAAGCUCUUGCAGAGAUUCGGUCUUUCCCAAAUCUGGGUUCUUUUCAGAGGUUUAAAUGCCAGAAUAAAAUCCCCUUUUUGUGACCUUAGUGUUCUAGCAUUGUUGGGUUUGUUUUUUUCCUUCCAGAGCUGUACGUCAGGAGUAAUUUAACUGAAAUGGGUGGUGUCCGUGAAAUGGAAACAAAUCCUCAUUUUCUUCAGAUAUACCAAAAAUUUUGAGCCAAACAUGACUGGGGAGGGCAGGCUAAUUCUGUGAUGGAAAUAUUUUUGGUUUUCAGGCUGUUUAGAUCACAGCUAACUGCAGCUAUAGACUCCCACUGCAGAUUUGGAUCUGAAUGGGAACCUAAAUAUGGAAUUUUAGUGUGUGCCAUUUCAUGGCUUGCGUUGAACAUCUUUAUAUGGUUUGCUACCCUGUGUUUAAAAGCAUCACCUGAACUGUGGUACAUGUUACACAUCUGAAAAUGCAGCUGGUCUAAUUUUAUGCUGCAUAAAGGGUGAUGUAAAAUUUUACUUCCACCAUGCCCUGCAGUAAAUGACAGCAGUGGAGAAUACAGCCCAUUAAAUCAAAGGCAAGCAGUCUUCCAAUGAUACUAAGUAAAAGGAUGGUAUUGCUUACUUUUCAGUGUCUUGACAUGUUGCAAAACAGGCAAAAAAAAGAAUUGCCAAAAAUGUAACCAUCUGCAGAGAUCUCUGGGGCAGGAACAUUUUCUCUCUU